AACUUUUAAUACUCUACAAUGGAUAUUUGUGAAUUUGCACAUGUAUAUCCAGCAACAGGAAAAGUCCUACAGUAAGAUACCAUUUGGUAGCUGAUACCCAGGGAGGAGCUUUAGAAAGCACUUUAUAAGGUUAUUACCCGGUUAAUAAUAAAUUAUAUAUAUAUGUGUUGUAUGUAUGUAUGUAUGUAUGUAUGUAUGUAUGUAUGUAUGCAUGUAUAUAUAUAUGUAUGUAUGUAUGAGUGUAUGUAAGAGACAAAGAGAAGGAGAGAAUAAGUAAACAUGUGGAUAGAUAAAGUGCACAACGUAGUUUCAGGUUCAAUUCCAGCGUGCUGUCACUUGCGCAAUUAUCCCCAACCGUAGCCUUGGGCUGACCAAUUCCUUGAGAAUGCAAUUUGGUCAAUAGAAACUGUACAGAAGCUCUUCAUGUACAUAUUUAACUAACAACCCUUAUUGAGCUUCACAGUUUAGUACUAAAACAAUACACACACACAUACACACACACACACACACACACACAUAUAAACUAUACCUCUUAUAUUUUGGUCUGUGAGAUCAUGUUUUACCAAUUCCAUUGACUCUUACCAUCAUAAAUCAUUUCAAAUUUCUCCAUGUUUUUUAUUACUUUUUUAAACAUAUUUUUGUUAUUGCAGGGUUUUUUUUUAUUGUUUUAUAAAAUAUAAUUAACGAUUAAAUAUUUAAUUUUGCUGAAAUGCUGCUCACUUAAUUAAAGACAAGAGAAGUACCUGUAAUAUACUGUGGGUUAACCAUUUAUGCAGUUGCUCAACAAAACUGGUCUUCUACUUAACAAAGGUGUUUUUUCUUAAAUUUUACACUGUUGAUGUUCUUUUUUUUUUGUUUUGGUGAUAUUUAUUAAUUUUUUGGUGGGUGGGGGGAUGGAAAAUGAUGGUGAAAGCAUGUGGCCUAGUGAUAUGGGAAUUGUGGUUUCAAUUCCCAAACCGGGCAGUGUGUCUUGUUCUUGAGCGAGACACUUCAUUUCACAUUGUUGCAGUCCACUAGGCUGUAAAUGACUGACCCUCUGACUAACCGGCAUCCUCUUCAGUGGGUAUGUUGCGAUCUUCAUCAUUCACAGGCCAUGGAAACCAGCCAUAGGAAUCACAAGACUUAAAGCAGGAAUGUGCAGGGUUUGUUGUUAUUGUUGUUGAUGAUGAUGACGAUGACGACGACGAUGAUGGAGUCCCUUGCAGUGUGAUGAUUUGUUAUGGCACAUAAUGUUUGAGUUCAAACCCUACAGCUGGAAUCAACUUUGAUUACCCUCCUGGCAAAUUGGCCGAGGGUCAAACAGAAUGCCUUGUGGUAUUUAUUCCAGUACUAUGCAUUCUGAGAUUAACAUUGUCUUUUAUCCUUCCAGGGUGGAUGAGUAAAGGUAACCAUUCUAAAGUGCUGGACUGGCAUAAAAACUAUCAGAGUACUGGAUGCUUUGAGGGAUUUUUUUGUGGCCCUUUGUGUUCUGGGUUCAAAUCCUGUCUUUACCUACUUACAUUUAAUCCCUAGGCCACUUUAACAUCACCAUCUGGUCAUUGGGUGCCUUUAGAUGACACCAUUGUUUUGCAAACAUUCUGGUCAGGUUUGGGCAUCACCUGGUGACCCUUACAAGUCUUGGGACCCACUUCUGAUCUAUGUAUGUUGUGACUUGCUGUCGAUAAGUAAAUAUAUACCACAGGGCUCAAUGCAUUGAUUUGCCUGGAGGUUUAUAGUGCUGCUAAGUGGACCCUACUUUCAUCCCCCGUUGUUGGUUCAUCCCUAUUUUUUAUACAUUAUUAUUUAUUGAUAUUUUAGGAAAUUAUUUUCUUUCCUUCUUUAUUCUUGUUUGGCAAGAAGAAAUUUGUCCAUUUUUUUUGACAGGAAAUCACUGUAGCCAUUGGUCAAUUGACACCUUUCACUCGCAAUGCCCGCUCCUUCUGCUUCAUAUCCUGGCAUAAGACAAAACACA
rnacentral:lncRNA from 1 species